UUCAUAGCUCAGCUGGCAGAGCGCCCGGCUGUUAACCGGUAUGUCGCAGGUUCGAAUCCUGCUGUUCC
rnacentral:tRNA from 1 species